GACGAACGCUGGCGGCGUGCCUAAUACAUGCAAGUAGAACGCACAGUUUAUACCGUAGCUUGCUACACCAUAAACUGUGAGUUGCGAACGGGAGAGUAACGCGUAGGUAACCUGCCUGGUAGCGGGGGAUAACUAUUGGAAACGAUAGCUAAUACCGCAUAAUAUUGAUUAUUGCAUGAUAAUUGAUUGAAAGAUGCUAUUGCAUCACUACCAGAUGGACCUGCGUUGUAUUAGCUAGUAGGUGAGGUAACGGCUCACCUAGGCGACGAUACAUAGCCGACCUGAGAGGGUGAUCGGCCACACUGGGACUGAGACCAGGCCCAGACUCCUACGGGAGGCAGCAGUAGGGGAUCUUCGGCAAUGGACGAAAGUCUGACCGAGCCACGCCGCGUGGGUGAAGAAGGUUUUCGGAUCGUAAAGCUCUGUUGUAAGAGAAGAACGGGUGUGAGAGUGGAAAGUUCACACUGUGACGGUAUCUUACCAGAAAGGGACGGCUAACUACGUG
rnacentral:rRNA from 1 species